rnacentral:rRNA from 1 species
GUGCCAGCAGCCGCGGUAAUACGGGGGGCGCAAGCGUUGCUCGGAAUCACUGGGCGUAAAGCGUCCGCAGGCGGCUUGGUAAGUCGGGUGUGAAAGCCCGGAGCUCAACUCCGGAACUGCAUUCGAGACUGCCUGGCUCGAGUACGGGAGAGGAUGGCGGAAUUCCUGGUGUAGAGGUGAAAUUCGUAGAUAUCAGGAGGAACACCGGUGGCGAAAGCGGCCAUCUGGCCCGAUACUGACGCUCAUGGACGAAAGCGCGGGGAGCAAACAGGAUUAGAUACCCUGGUAGUCC